GCGGUCAAGCAAGUAAUGAAAUUAUCGGCUCAACUGGUAAACUAUUAUUCGAACUGGCGUGCUCGAGAGUAUCAGAGGUCGCUGGAAUUUCUUGUGUAGCAGUGAAAUGCGUAGAUAUAAGAAGGAACACCAAUGGCGUAGGCAGGCGACUGGGAUAUUUCUGACGCUAAGGCACGAAAGCGUGGGGAGCGAACCGGAUUAGAUACCCGGGUAGUCCACGCCGUAAACGAUGAAUGUUAACUGUCGGGGGUAUCGACCCCUUCGGUAGUAAAGCUAACGCGUUAAACAUUCCGCCUGUGGAGUACGGCCGCAAGGCUAAAACAUAAAGGAAUUGACGGGGACCCGCACAAGCGGUGGAGCGUGUUCUUUAAUUCGAUGCUAAACGAAGAACCUUACCCAGGCUUGACAUCCUCUGAAUUACUCCGAAAGGAGUGAGUGCUUUAUUGAACAGAGUGACAGAUCUUGCAUGGCCGUCGUCAGCUCGUGUCGUGAGAUGUAUGGUUAAGUCCAUCAACGAGCGCAACCCUUAUCGUUAGUUGUAUUUUUCUAGCGAGACUGCCUCUGUAAGGAGGAGGAAGGAGGGGAUGAUGUCAGGUCAGUAUUAGUCUUACGUCUGGGGCUAGAAACGCGCUACAAUGGUCAGUACAACGGGCAGCGAAACAGCAAUGUGAAGCAAAUCCCAUCAAAACUGAUCCCAGUUCGGACUGAGGGCUGAAACUCGCCCUCACGAAGUCGGAAUCGCUAGUAAUCGCAGAUCAGCACGCUGCGGUGAAUACGUUCCCGGGUCUUGUACACACCGCCCGUCAAACCAUGAAAGUCAGGAGCACCCGACGCCCGAAUUUAUUCGGUCUAAGUAGCUNNNU
rnacentral:rRNA from 1 species